rnacentral:rRNA from 1 species
GAUGAACGCUAGCGGCAGGCUUAACACAUGCAAGUCGAGGGGUAACAGGAAUAGCUUGCUAUUCGCUGACGACCGGCGCACGGGUGCGUAACGCGUAUAGAAUCUACCUUUUACUAAGGGAUAGCCUUUAGAAAUGAAGAUUAAUACCUUAUAGUAUUAUAGACUGGCAUCAGUUUAUACUUAAAGAUUUAUUGGUAAAAGAUGACUAUGCGUUCUAUUAGCUAGAUGGUAAGGUAACGGCUUACCAUGGCUACGAUAGAUAGGGGUCCUGAGAGGGAGAUCCCCCACACUGGUACUGAGACACGGACCAG